rnacentral:rRNA from 1 species
GGAUGUGAUCAUACCAGCACUAAAGCACCGGAUCCCAUCAGAACUCCAAAGUUAAGCGUGCUUGGGUGAGAGUAGUACUAGGAUGGGUGACCUCCUGGGAAGUCCUCGUGUUGCAUCCC